rnacentral:rRNA from 1 species
CGAAAGCCUGACGGAGCAAUACCGCGUGAGGGAGGAAGGCUCUUGGGUUGUAAACCUCUUUUCUCAGGGAAGAAAAAAAUGACGGUACCUGAGGAAUCAGCAUCGGCUAACUCCGUGCCAGCAGCCGCGGUAAUACGGAGGAUGCAAGCGUUAUCCGGAAUGAUUGGGCGUAAAGCGUCCGCAGGUGGCACUGCAAGUCUGC